rnacentral:pre_miRNA from 1 species
ACAAAAUUUAGACUGUCAGUCUACCGAGCAAUUUCACCCGCUCGGUGGAAGAUAGAUUUUCCCUUUAUCGU